rnacentral:tRNA from 1 species
UGGAAGCUAGUGGGUUAUAAAAACACAAAUGAAUUUGAAUCAUUAGAAGGAAUUAAAAAUUCCGCCUCCAACC